GCUCAUGACACCAGGUCCCCGGGGCGCGCCCUGCCCGGCGCCCGGCGGCCCCCACGUCCCGCCCCGGGAAGUGGGCUACUCGUCAGCUCACCGUGAAAAGACAAGAAAAGAGAAAAAAGAAGAGUGUGUGUGAGGGGCAAGCCUGUAGUCCCAGUCACUCCGGAAUGACUCCAGAGGAGCAGGAGUUGGAGCCUGGGCAAUACUGCAAGACCCGGCCUGGGGCGGGGACCCCUCUCGGAUGAGGAAAAGCGAGAACGGCCUUACAGGCAGCAGACGUUGUGCUGGACCUCGUCGGUCUUCUCCGUGGAGAGCAGGCAGGUGACUCUGAGAAACAACUCUGUCAAUGGCUCCCCAGUGCUGCCUCACUCACUCCUCAUGACUCGGAGGCUGACAUCCGGCGCUCUUCUUGACAUCACCCCUGGGAUGUCUGAUCAGCCAUUCACACUCAACAUGUCCAAGUGGGCACUCAGCCUCUUCAAAGCUGUACCACCCUGAAUGGCAGCUGCACCUGUCCCCAACCCCUUUCCUCCCAAGUCCACUCUCAGCUCAGCAGCCACAGCCAUCCUGGGAGAAAGAAGCCUGUUGCAGACUCCACCUCAGGGCUCCCUCGCCAGUCUCUCUCCUUGGUUCCCAACAGGCCAGGCCGCACCCUCAGCCCUUGCUCCCCAGUCUCCUCCACGGCUUCCUCCUGCACUGGUUGUGGUGAUCCUUCCCUCACGCUCAGCUUGAGCACUGUCUGGUGCCCCCCAUCUUGUAUGUUUUCACUUAUUGUCUGUCUUCCCACUACCACCAGAAGCUAGGAGCUGCAGGUGAGCUAUCUGUUGUCUUCCUUCACUGGUCCUGGGCCCUGGACACAGACCACUAGUUUCAUGGACUGAAGAAGGGUUGAAUGCCCAGGCAAGGCCAGGGCUGAGAGGAAGACCGUGCGCUUAGCACAUGUCAGUACCAACUGUCGACCUGAGCCUGCACUUGUGCAAGUAGUGAGUCCUGGUCCAGCUCCAAGGAGAGCCAGAUAACCCCAUACUUGACUCACAAUUUAAGGUCCGCCUCUCUCUAACUGGUAUAUGUCAUGACCAUAUCUCCACUCAUUCAACAAUGCAUUUAUUACUGGGCUGGGGAUGUGGCUCAAGCGGUAGCACGCUCGCCUGGCAUGCGUGCGGCCCGGGUUCGAUCCUCAGCACCACAUACAAACAAAGAUGUUGUGUCUGCCGAGAACUAAAAUAAAUAAAUAAAUAUUUUUUUAAAAAACAAUGCAUUUAUUGAGCACCAACUGUGUACCAUGUUCUGACUGAGCACCAAAAUAUGGUGCUGAGAAGACAGACAAGAUCCCAGCACCCAGGAGGGCAGACAGACACUAAGCAAAGAAGCAAACUAAUCAGGGAUGUGUUGAGACUCAUUCAUGUUGUGCAGGGAGCAGUUGUUGACUCUUUUUAUUGCUAUUGAUAAACAUCUGGGCUGUUGCCACUGUUUGAUAUUACAAAUAAAACUGCUAGAACAUUUGUGUGCAA